rnacentral:rRNA from 1 species
AAAGGAAUUGACGGGGGCCCGCACAAGCGGAGGAGCAUGUGGUUUAAUUCGAUGAUACGCGAGGAACCUUACCCGGGCUUGAACGUAAGACGAAUAUACAGGAAACUGUAUAGCCUACGGGCGUCUUGCGAGGUGCUGCAUGGUUGUCGUCAGCUCGUGCCGUGAGGUGUUAGGUUAAGUCCUGCAACGAGCGCAACCCUUACACAUAGUUGCCAGCACGUAAUGGUGGGGACUCUAUGGGAACUGCCUACGCAAGUAGAGAGGAAGGUGGGGAUGACGUCAAAUCAGCACGGCCCUUAUGUUCGGGGCUACACACGUGCUACAAUGGCAUAUACAGAGGGCAGCCACUACGCGAGUAGGCGCUAAUCCUCAAAGUAUGUCUCAGUUCGGAUUGGAGUCUGUAACUCGACUCUAUGAAGUUGGAUUCGCUAGUAAUCGCGCAUCAGCCAUGGCGCGGUGAAUACGUUCCCGGGCCUUGUACACACCGCCCGU